rnacentral:miRNA from 1 species
CCCUCCGGACCUGCGGGCGGGGCGGGGCGGCGCUCCGGGAGCCCCGAUGCCGCCCCGGUCGCUCCAGGCCCACGUGGCGGGGGGGC